GACGAACGCUGGCGGCGUGCUUAACACAUGCAAGUCGAACGGAAAGGCCCUGCUUUUGUGGGGUGCUCGAGUGGCGAACGGGUGAGUAACACGUGAGUAACCUGCCCUUGACUUUGGGAUAACUUCAGGAAACUGGGGCUAAUACCGGAUAGGAGCUCCUGCUGCAUGGUGGGGGUUGGAAAGUUUCGGCGGUUGGGGAUGGACUCGCGGCUUAUCAGCUUGUUGGUGGGGUAGUGGCUUACCAAGGCUUUGACGGGUAGCCGGCCUGAGAGGGUGACCGGCCACAUGGGGACUGAGAUACGCCCCAGACUCCUACGGGAGGAAGCAGGGGGAAAUCUUGCACAAUGGGCGGAAGCCUGAUGCAGCAACGCCGGGUGCGGGAUGACGGCCUUCGGGUUUUAAACCGCUUUCGCCUGUGACGAAGGGGGAGGGAGGGUAAGGGAUAAAGAAGCACGGGCAAACUAGGUG
rnacentral:rRNA from 1 species